AUCCUGCCAGUAGUCAUAUGCUUGUCUCAAAGAUUAAGCCAUGCAUGUCUAAGUACAAGCCUCACUAAGGUGAAACCGCGAAUGGCUCAUUAAAUCACACCUAAUGUACUGGACAGUCUCAGUUACUUGGAUAACUGCGGUAAUUCUGGAGCUAAUACAUGCGUACUAGCCGCGACUCACGGAGCGGUGCUUUUAUUAGAUCAAAACCAAACGGCCUCGAGCCGUCCCCCUGGUGAUUCUGAAUAACUUUGGGCUGAUCGCACGGACUCGUUCCGGCGACGUGUCCUUCCAAGGUGUGCCCUAUCAACUGUCGACUGUGGCAUAGACGCCCACAGUGGUUUUGACGGGUAACGGGGAAUUAGGGUUCGAUUCCGGAGAGGGAGCCUGAGAAACGGCUACCACUUCUACGGAAGGCAGCAGGCACGCAAAUUACCCACUGGCCGAAGGCCGAGGUAGUGACGAAAAAUAACGAUACCGGACUCAUCCGAGGCCCGGUAAUCGGAAUGAGUACACUUUAAAUCCUUUAACGAGGAACAAUUGGAGGGCAAGUCUGGUGCCAGCAGCCGCGGUAAUUCCAGCUCCAAUAGCGUAUAUUAAAGUUGUUGCGGUUAAAAAGCUCGUAGUUGGAUCUCGGCGGGCAGGGGGUGGUUCGCUCUUCAGCGCUACUGCCCCGCUUUGCCCGUGUGAUUGGCGGAGGUUUCGGGGUGCUCUUCGUUGAGUGACUCGGAGCGCCGUCAGGUUUACUUUGAAAAAAUUAGAGUGCUCAAAGCAGGCUUUUCACGCUUGAAUAUUCGUGCAUGGAAUAAUGGAAUAGGAACUCGUUUCUAUUUUGUUGGUUUUCGGAAAUCGAGUUAAUGAUUAACAGGGACAAUUGGGGGCAUUAGUAUUCAGACGACAGAGGUGAAAUUCUUGGACCGUCUGAAGACUGACUACUGCGAAAGCAUUUGCCAAGAGUGUUUUCAUUAAUCAAGAACGAAAGUUAGAGGUUCGAAGGCGAUCAGAUACCGCCCUAGUUCUAACCAUAAACGAUGCCAGCUAGCGAUCUGCCGAGUUUUUUUUGUAGGCUCCGCAGGAAGCUUUCGGGAAACCAAAGCUUUUGGGUUCCGGGGGAAGUAUGGUUGCAAAGCUGAAACUUAAAGGAAUUGACGGAAGGGCACCACCAGGAGUGGAGCCUGCGGCUUAAUUUGAC
rnacentral:rRNA from 1 species